rnacentral:pre_miRNA from 1 species
CAUGUACUCCCUUCGUUCGGAAUUACUUGUUGGAGAAAUGGAUGUAUCUAGAAGUCUAGAUACAUCUAUUUCUGUGACAAGUAAUUCCGAAUGAAAGGAGUAGUGU